rnacentral:tRNA from 1 species
GGAUUGUAGUUCAGUGGUAAAAUGCUUGCCUAGCACACAUGAGGCACUGGGCUCAAUCCUCAGCACCA